AUGAGGGAGAUGAAGAAAGUUCUUGGAACAGAGGAUGAACGAGCAAUGUCGCCGGAAAAUAGCUUCGGGAGCAAACAACCGGAGACUCUCCGGCUUCUCAAGUAACCAUCAUCAUCGGCUGAUUUUACACCAUCCUUGCUGAUUCAGAGAUAAAGAAGUAACAAAGUUCAUAUAUAUAUUAUUUGUAAAUCAUAAGGAAGCUCUCUAUACAUAUUUAUUGGAAAAUAUACCCUUUCUCCCCUUGCUACGGAGAAGUUAAUAGAAGAAGAAAAAAAAAAACAUGGAAUAAAGAUAUCUCUCGACUGUUUCGGAGACAUGAUCACAGACUGUUUCGAAUGUUUUUUUUUUUUUUUUUUUUUUUUUUUAUAUGUGUGUUCUUAUCCGAAAUAAGGAAUUUGAUAAGAGUUGAUUAAAGUUUUGCUUUCUUCAGCCUGAAGAACCUUUAGCCCAAAGCUAUUCAUUUUGUUAUUUAUUAAUCGCUAGUGGUUAGUUGUUUACUUUACCUUCGUGGCAAAGUUACAGCAUAUUCUUAGUCAUGAAUUUAGUUAGCUGUUAAAAUUUGAAUUUUUCUUUUUCAGGGAGAACGUAUUUGAUGAUAUCAUAAAAUAAAAACAAAGAAAGAGAAAAAAAAAAACUCAUAAGAAGUAGGCAUGUCAAUCGGGUUAGCCCGGCCCGGCCCGGUCCGAAAUCCAUAAAGCCCUCAUAUAUGUGAGCCCGGC
rnacentral:lncRNA from 1 species